GAUGAACGCUGGCGGCGUGCCUAAUACAUGCAAGUCGAGCGAACAGACGAGGAGCUUGCUCCUCUGACUUUAUCGGCGGACGGAUGAGUAACACGGGUAUAACCUAACUAUAAGACUGGGAUAACUUCGGGGAACCGUAGCUAAGACCGAAUAAUAUAUUGAACCGCAUGGUUCAAUAGUUGAAGACGGUUUUUCUUUCACUUAUAGAUUGAUCCGCGCCGCAUUAGCUAGUUGGUAAGGUAACGGCUUAACAAGGCAACGAUGCGUAGCCGACCCGAGAGGGUGAUCGGACACACUGGAAGUGAGAAACGGUCCAGACUCCGACGGGAGGCCGCAGCAGGGACUCUUACGCAAUGCGCGAAAGCCUGAUGGAGCAACGCCGCGUGAGUGAUGAAGGUCUUCGGAUCGUAAAACUCUGUUAUUAGGGAAGAUGAAAUGUGUAAGUAACUAUGCACGUAUUGACGGUACCUAAUCAGAAAGCCACGGCUAACUACGUG
rnacentral:rRNA from 1 species